rnacentral:rRNA from 1 species
UACGGAGGGUGCAAGCGUUAUCCGGAUUCACUGGGUUUAAAGGGUGCGUAGGUGGGUUGGUAAGUCAGUGGUGAAAUCUCCGUGCUUAACAUGGAAACUGCCAUUGAUACUACUGGUCUUGAAUUUUCCGGAGGUAAGCGGAAUAUGUCAUGUAGCGGUGAAAUGCUUAGAUAUGGCAUAGAACACCAAUUGCGAAGGCAGCUUACUACAGGGACAUUGACACUGAGGCACGAAAGCGUGGGGAUCAAACAGG